rnacentral:rRNA from 1 species
UACGUAGGUGGCAAGCGUUGUCCGGAUUUAUUGGGUUUAAAGGGUGCGUAGGCGGCUUAUUAAGUCAGUGGUGAAAGCCCCAAGCUUAACUUGGGAACUGCCAUUGAUACUGAUGAGCUUGAGUAGAUUUGAGGCGGGCGGAAUGUGUCGUGUAGCGGUGAAAUGCUUAGAUAUGACACAGAACACCAAUUGCGUAGGCAGCUCGCUAAACUCUUACUGACGCUGAGGCACGAAAGCAUGGGGAUCAAACAGG